UUAAGCGACUAAGCGUACACGGUGGAUGCCCUGGCAGUCAGAGGCGAUGAAGGACGUGCUAAUCUGCGAAAAGCGUCGGUAAGGUGAUAUGAACCGUUACAGCCGGCGAUGUCCGAAUGGGGAAACCCAGUGCAAUUCGUUGCACUAUCGUUAACUGAAUACAUAGGUUAACGAGGCGAACCGGGGGAACUGAAACAUCUAAGUACCCCGAGGAAAAGAAAUCAACCGAGAUUCCCCCAGUAGCGGCGAGCGAACGGGGAGCAGCCCAGAGUCUGAAUCAGCUUGUGUGUUAGUGGAACGGUCUGGAAAGUCCGACGGUACAGGGUGAUAGUCCCGUACACCAAAAUGCACAGGCUGUGAACUCGAAGAGUAGGGCGGGACACGUGGUAUCCUGUCUGAAUAUGGGGGGACCAUCCUCCAAGGCUAAAUACUCCUGACUGACCGAUAGUGAACCAGUACCGUGAGGGAAAGGCGAAAAGAACCCCGGCGAGGGGAGUGAAAAAGAACCUGAAACCGUGUACGUACAAGCAGUGGGAGCACCUUCGGGUGUGACUGCGUACCUUUUGUAUAAUGGGUCAGCGACUUAUAUUCUGUAGCAAGGUUAACCGUAUAGGGGAGCCGCAGGGAAACCGAGUCUUAACUGGGCGUUAAGUUGCAGGGUAUAGACCCGAAACCCGGUGAUCUAGCCAUGGGCAGGUUGAAGGUUGGGUAACACUAACUGGAGGACCGAACCGACUAAUGUUGAAAAAUUAGCGGAUGACUUGUGGCUGGGGGUGAAAGGCCAAUCAAACCGGGAGAUAGCUGGUUCUCCCCGAAAGCUAUUUAGGUAGCGCCUCGUGAACUCAUCUUCGGGGGUAGAGCACUGUUUCGGCUAGGGGGUCAUCCCGACUUACCAACCCGAUGCAAACUACGAAUACCGAAGAAUGUUAUCACGGGAGACACACGGCGGGUGCUAACGUCCGUCGUGAAGAGGGAAACAACCCAGACCGCCAGCUAAGGUCCCAAAGUCAUGGUUAAGUGGGAAACGAUGUGGGAAGGCACAGACAGCCAGGAUGUUGGCUUAGAAGCAGCCAUCAUUUAAAGAAAGCGUAAUAGCUCACUGGUCGAGUCGGCCUGCGCGGAAGAUGUAACGGGGCUAAACCAUGCACCGAAGCUGCGGCAGCGACACUAUGUGUUGUUGGGUAGGGGAGCGUUCUGUAAGCCUGCGAAGGUGUGCUGUGAGGCAUGCUGGAGGUAUCAGAAGUGCGAAUGCUGACAUAAGUAACGAUAAAGCGGGUGAAAAGCCCGCUCGCCGGAAGACCAAGGGUUCCUGUCCAACGUUAAUCGGGGCAGGGUGAGUCGACCCCUAAGGCGAGGCCGAAAGGCGUAGUCGAUGGGAAACAGGUUAAUAUUCCUGUACUUGGUGUUACUGCGAAGGGGGGACGGAGAAGGCUAUGUUAGCCGGGCGACGGUUGUCCCGGUUUAAGCAUGUAGGCUGGUUAUCCAGGCAAAUCCGGAUAAUCAAGGCUGAGGUGUGAUGACGAGGCACUACGGUGCUGAAGUAACAAAUGCCCUGCUUCCAGGAAAAGCCUCUAAGCAUCAGGUAACAUCAAAUCGUACCCCAAACCGACACAGGUGGUCAGGUAGAGAAUACCAAGGCGCUUGAGAGAACUCGGGUGAAGGAACUAGGCAAAAUGGUGCCGUAACUUCGGGAGAAGGCACGCUGGUGUGUAGGUGAAGUCCCUGCGGAUGGAGCUGAGACCAGUCGAAGAUACCAGCUGGCUGCAACUGUUUAUUAAAAACACAGCACUGUGCAAACACGAAAGUGGACGUAUACGGUGUGACGCCUGCCCGGUGCCGGAAGGUUAAUUGAUGGGGUUAUCCGUAAGGAGAAGCUCUUGAUCGAAGCCCCGGUAAACGGCGGCCGUAACUAUAACGGUCCUAAGGUAGCGAAAUUCCUUGUCGGGUAAGUUCCGACCUGCACGAAUGGCGUAAUGAUGGCCAGGCUGUCUCCACCCGAGACUCAGUGAAAUUGAACUCGCUGUGAAGAUGCAGUGUACCCGCGGCAAGACGGAAAGACCCCGUGAACCUUUACUAUAGCUUGACACUGAACAUUGAGCCUUGAUGUGUAGGAUAGGUGGGAGGCUUUGAAGCGUGGACGCCAGUCUGCGUGGAGCCAACCUUGAAAUACCACCCUUUAAUGUUUGAUGUUCUAACGUUGGCCCCUGACCGGGGUUGCGGACAGUGUCUGGUGGGUAGUUUGACUGGGGCGGUCUCCUCCCAAAGCGUAACGGAGGAGCACGAAGGUUAGCUAAUCCUGGUCGGACAUCAGGAGGUUAGUGCAAUGGCAUAAGCUAGCUUGACUGCGAGCGUGACGGCGCGAGCAGGUGCGAAAGCAGGUCAUAGUGAUCCGGUGGUUCUGAAUGGAAGGGCCAUCGCUCAACGGAUAAAAGGUACUCCGGGGAUAACAGGCUGAUACCGCCCAAGAGUUCAUAUCGACGGCGGUGUUUGGCACCUCGAUGUCGGCUCAUCACAUCCUGGGGCUGAAGUAGGUCCCAAGGGUAUGGCUGUUCGCCAUUUAAAGUGGUACGCGAGCUGGGUUUAGAACGUCGUGAGACAGUUCGGUCCCUAUCUGCCGUGGGCGCUGGAGAAUUGAGGGGGGCUGCUCCUAGUACGAGAGGACCGGAGUGGACGCAUCACUGGUGUUCGGGUUGUCAUGCCAAUGGCACUGCCCGGUAGCUAAAUGCGGAAGAGAUAAGUGCUGAAAGCAUCUAAGCACGAAACUUGCCCCGAGAUGAGUUCUCCCUGAGACUAUAAGUCUCCUGAAGGAACGUUAAAGACGAUGACGUUGAUAGGCCGGGUGUGUAAGCGCAGCGAUGCGUUGAGCUAACCGGUACUAAUGAACCGUGAGGCUUAACCUU
rnacentral:rRNA from 2 species